GGAAGUAAAAGUCGUAACAAGGUUUCCGUAGGUGAACCUGCGGAAGGAUCAUUACCGAGUGAGGGCCCUCUGGGUCCAACCUCCCAACCCGUGUCUACUGUACCCGUGUUGUUUCGGCGGGCCCGCCGGGGGCUUCUGUCCCUGGCCGCCGGGGGGCCAUCUACCGCGCCCCCGGGCCCGCGCCCGCCGGAGACCUUCGCGAACGCUGUCUUGAACAAAGGUUGCAGUCUGAGUGAAAAGCAUAAUCGUCAAAACUUUCAACAACGGAUCUCUUGGUUCCGGCAUCGAUGAAGAACGCAGCGAAAUGCGAUAAGUAAUGUGAAUUGCAGAAUUCCGUGAAUCAUCGAAUCUUUGAACGCACAUUGCGCCCUCUGGCAUUCCGGGGGGCAUGCCUGUCCGAGCGUCAUUUCUGCCCCUCAAGCACGGCUUGUGUGUUGGGCCGCCGUCCCCCUCGGGGACGGGCCCGAAAGGCAGCGGCGGUGCCGCGUUCCGGUCCUUGAGCGUAUGGGGCUCUGUCACCCGCUCUGGAGGUCCGGCCGGUGCCUGCCCACCCGUCAAUCUUCUUCCAAGGUUGACCUCGGAUCAGGUAGGGAUACCCGCUGAACUUAAGCAUAUCAAUAAGCGGAGGA
rnacentral:rRNA from 1 species